rnacentral:rRNA from 1 species
UAACACGGGGGGAACGAGCGUUGUUCGGAUUUACUGGGCGUAAAGGGUGCGUAGGCGGGUCAGCAAGUCGGGUGUGAAAGUCCAGGGCUUAACCCUGAAUCUGCAUUCGAAACUGCUGGUCUUGAGUACUGGAGAGGUAAGUGGAAUUCCUGGUGUAGCGGUGAAAUGCGUAGAUAUCAGGAGGAACACCGUUGGCGAAGGCGGCUUACUGGACAGAUACUGACGCUGAGGCACGAAGGUCGGGGGAGCAAACAGGAUUAGAUACCCUGGUAGUCCCGACGGUAAACGAUGGGCACUAGGUGUCGGAGGUAUCGACCCCUCCGGUGCCGCAGUUAACACAUUAAGUGCCCCGCCUGGGGAGUACGACCGCAAGGUUG